rnacentral:rRNA from 1 species
AGUAACGGCGAGUGAACGGGGAAAAGCCCAGCGCUGAAUCCUAUGGCCAUUGGUCAUUAGGAGCUGUAGCGUAUAGGUGUAACUUUUCGGUGGUUUUGCUCACCCAAAGUCCCCUUGAGUGGGGCCAUAGUCCGUAGAAGGUGCGAGACCUGUACGGGUGGUGAAGCUAUCGAUAUGGUUGCUCCUUGGAGUCGAGUUGCCUGGGAACGCAGCUCAAAGUAGGUGGUAAACCUCAUCUAAGGCUAAAUACGAUCACGAGACCGAUAGCAAACAAGUACCGUGAGGGAAAGUUGCAAAGAACUUUGAAGAGAGAGUUCAAGAGGGCGUGAAACCGCUGGGAAGGAAACGAACAGAACUGACGAAACACGGUGGUAUUCACCCGACAAUUUUUGCUGCAGCUCUUGCUGUUAGCUGUUUCACUUGUGGAGCGGCAGCGGUAGGGGUUUGCAAGUAGAACGAGUCGGUGUAUUUGCCACCGGUAUGCAUCGAGAAAUUCGCUUUGGUGCGCUAAUGCUUGUCUAAAGAGGACCAUGCUCGAAUGAGUGUGGAAACCUUUAGUGGUUGAGGCGUAUCCGUGGUGAAUCUGCAUCGCUAGGCAGUGCGCCCGUUGUAGUGCGAUAGCUGUUGCGUGAUUGGUGUGGCUAUUGGGCGGUCGCAUGCGACUUGCUUAUAGUUUGCGUUGAUCCGUUGAUGGUUUGUUGCGCUGGCGUAGAAUCUCGGUGUAAAAAGUCGGUCACCUGUUCGACCCGUCUUGAAACACGGACCAAGGAGUUUAGCAUAUGCGCGAGUCAUUGGGUGGUAAACCUAAAGGCGAAAUGAAAGUAAAGACUGCUUUUAGCGGUUGAUAUGGGAUCCGCAGAGUUUAACGACGAUGCGGCGCACCAUAGCCCCGUCCUGAUUGCUUGCAAUGGGGCGGAGGUAGAGCGCAUACGCUGAGACCCGAAAGAUGGUGAACUAUGCCUGAGCAGGAUGAAGCCAGAGGAAACUCUGGUGGAAGUCCGAAGCGGUUCUGACGUGCAAAUCGAUCGUCUGACUUGGGUAUAGGGGCGAAAGACUAAUCGAACCAUCUAGUAGCUGGUUCCCUCUGAAGUUUCCCCCAGGAUAGCUGAAACUCAGUACACAGUUAUAUUCGGUAAAGCGAAUGAUUAGAGGAAUUGGGGGCGAAACGACCUCAACCUAUUCUCAAACUUUCAAUGGGUAUGACGUCUCGCUUGCUUGAUUGAAGCGUAGACAUUGAAUGUGAGUUUCAAGUGGGCCAUUUUUGGUAAGCAGAACUGGCGCUGUGGGAUGAACCAAACGUUGGGUUAAGGUGCCAAACUUCCCGCUCAUGAGACCCCAUGAAAGGCGUUGGUUGAUAUAGACAGCAGGACGGUGGCCAUGGAAGUCGGAAACCGCUAAGGAGUGUGUAACAACUCACCUGCCGAAUCAACUAGCCCUGAAAAUGGAUGGCGCUUGAGCGGGAGACCUAUACCCGACCGUUGCUAGCUUGUGCGAGGCGAGUUCGUCUGGCUGCAACGAGUAAGAGGGUCGCAGUGGUUUGCGUAGAAGGCUUUGGGCGUAGGCCCAGCUGGAGCUUCCACUGGUGCAGAUCUUGGUGGUAGUAGCAAAUAUUCAAGUGAGAUCCUUGAAGACUGAAGUGGAGAAGGGUUCCACGUGAACAGCAGUUGAAUGUGGGUCAAUCGGUCCUAAGACAAUGGCUAGUGCCAUUCAUAUCAAGAGACGGAGAUUAAAUCCAUCUUGGUUGUCGAAAGGGAAGUGGGUUAAUAUUCCCACAUGUGAGUACGGAGAUAAGCACUCAUUGCGAGUGUGUAGCGCGGUAACGCAAACGAACUUGGAAAUGUUGAAUAGAGCCCGAGCCAGAGUUCUCUUUUCUGGUUUAGGAACGGACUCCCUGGAAUCGGUUCAGCCGGAGAUAGGGACGUUGUUUCCGUAAAGCGCCACGGUUCCUGUGGCGUCUCGUGCGCUUUGUUUGACCCGUGAAAAUCCAAGCGAGGCUACUUGAAUUUCGUACCACGCCGUACCGAUAUCCGCAGCAGGUCUCCAAGGUGAACAGCCUCUAGUCGAUAGAAUAAUGUAGGUAAGGGAAGUCGGCAAAUUAGAUCCGUAACUUCGGGAAAAGGAUUGGCUCUAAGAAUUGGGUUAGUCGGGCUGUAGCGUGAAGUAGGUUCGGUUUGAUCCGUGCAGGGCGCCGGCUCGUGAAAGCGGGUGGUGUUCGGCUAGCGGUUGAACUGUCCUGUGGACCGUUACAGCUGUGCACUACGUCUCUCGGGGCGUUAGUGCUUCGGCUAGCGCUAAACAAUUGACUUAGAACUGGCACGGACUCGGGGAAUCCGACUGUCUAAUUAAAACAGAGGAGACAGAUGGCCCUUGCGGGCGUUGACUGUCUCUGAUUUCUGCCCAGUGCUCUGAAUGUAAAAGUGAAGAAAUUCAACCAAGCGCGGGUAAACGGCGGGAGUAACUAUGACUCUCUUAAGGUAGCCAAAUGCCUCGUCAUCUAAUUAGUGACGCGCAUGAAUGGAUUAACGAGAUUCCCACUGUCCCUAUCUACUAUCUAGCGAAACCACAGCCAAGGGAACGGGCUUGGCAAACACAGCGGGGAAAGAAGACCCUGUUGAGCUUGACUCUAGUCCGACUCUGUGAAGAGUCAUGAGAGGUGUAGCAUAAGUGGGAGGCUUUGCCGACAGUGAAAUACCACUACUUUCAUCGAUUCUUUACUUAUUCGGUAAGACGAGGAUUGAACCUUAUCGGUUCUUGAUUCUGGUGUUAAGUGCAGCCACUCGGUGGCAGUACGACUCGCGCCGAAGACAGUGUCAGGCGGGGAGUUUGACUGGGGCGGUACAUCUGUCAAACAAUAACGCAGGUGUCCUAAGGCUAGCUCAGAAAGGACGGAAACCUUUCGUAGAGCAAAAGGGCAAAAGCUCGCUUGAUCUUGAUUUCCAGUACGAAUACAGACCGCGAAAGCGAGGCCUAUCGAUCCUUUUGAAUUAGAAGGUCUCUAGCAAGAGGUGUCAGAAAAGUUACCACAGGGAUAACUGGCUUGUGGCAGCCAAGCGUCCAUAGCGACGUUGCUUUUUGAUCCUUCGAUGUC